rnacentral:snoRNA from 1 species
AAGACUGUACUUACAGGGGUUAUUUCUAAAGUUUGCUACUAGAGAAGUUUCUCUGAAUGUGGGUACACCAGAAGAACAAAUAUUACAUGUUUCCACUUGU